rnacentral:rRNA from 1 species
UACGGGGGGGGCAAGCGUUGUUCGGAAUUACUGGGCGUAAAGGGUGCGUAGGCGGGGCUUUAAGUCAGGGGUGAAAUCCUGGAGCUCAACUCCAGAACUGCCUUUGAUACUGAAGAUCUUGAGUUCGGGAGAGGUGAGUGGAACUGCGAGUGUAGAGGUGAAAUUCGUAGAUAUUCGCAAGAACACCAGUGGCGAAGGCGGCUCACUGGCCCGAUACUGACGCUGAGGCACGAAAGCGUGGGGAGCAAACAGG